CCAAUGCAGACUUAUCUUUGAUUGAAAAUUGCCUUAUUAAACCUAUGAAGCAGGGGCGGUUUCAGGAGAUGGACAAGGGUGACCAUGCCCACCCCAAAUAAUAAGGGAUUGGCCACCUAAGAUCCCUGAAAUCUGAUUGGCUAUCUGCCUUUAAAGAAGGAGGACUUAUGUUUGAAAAAAAUCAACUUCACUUUUAUUCAGAUACUAGACACCUUCACAACCCCUUAAUAAUUUAAAUUAUUGAAAUGCUGCCACCUUUUAACUCUUUAAAGGUACAGUGUGCAGUAUUUAGAAGCACUUCGCAGAACAGACUUGGUAGAAAUCAAUUAAUGUUAAAUUGCUUAAACGUAAAAAUUGAUGAACUUAGAAUAAGUAUUUUGUAUUAACAUAAGGAGUUUCAAUUUAGAAAUUAAAUGCAACACAUAAUAUUUUAUUUAAGACAGAAAUGGUAAAUAAACUGUAUUUAUGCAAGUGGGCACGGCAACUUCAUACUACCCUGACGAAAUAAAGUGCAUAAACUGGUCAUAUCUGUCAAUCAAAUCUGGCUCCACCCCUGCUGUUGUGGCAUAUAUGCUGUCAUAAAUGCAAUAAUGUUGCCUCGAAAAAUAUACAUCCUAUGUUAUCUUCUCUUUGCUGUCAGGUUUGCUCUGAGUGAAAUGAAGGCAGACAGUAUUCCUGAAGGCAUUUUACUGAAACUGAUGUCAGCAUGUCCAUGAAAAAAAAACUCUCUGAGCCGCUAACAGUCAGCAGUACUGUAUGUGAUUAACCUAAUUAUGCAUGGUAGUCUAAAUUGAAAUGCACUGUAAAUUCAGGCAUUAACGUCUAGACUGAGCCCAGCAUGUAAUCAAGUUGAUUUAUGUCGCUGCAACAUCACAGCACAACUGAGAGCUCUCAUUAAUGAAGUACUGUUUAUCGUCUGCAUCCCCCGUUUUUCCUUUUGUCAUCAUUCCCCUCUGAUGCUGCAGAUUCAAGUCCUCCUCCUCUUCCUCCUCCUCCUCCUCCUCCUCCUCUGCUGGGUGGACCUCCUCUCCCUGGAGGGGGCCUUCAUACGGAUGCUCUCAUCGCAAAGUGUCAGCCGCAGCACAAACCAGCAGACAGGACAAACAAGAUUUCUCCCAAAGCCCUCACCACCCUGCCUCCAUUUGUGCUCUGUCUGGCCCUGACUGCUCAGGAAAAGCCUAACUGAUGUUAUCAGCCGAGCCUUCUGGGGGCGCAGAAAACCUAUUAGAGGUCUGAAAGUUUCCAAUACCAAAUUCAGAAAUCAGAUAUGGAGGUGGAAAUAUGAGGUGAGGCAGGGAACUGCUGACCUGAGGGUAGGUAAGGUUGAAAGCAUUAUGGGCAGGUACAGAGGCCCUGAAGGUCGAGUGCAAAAACAUUUCAUUAAACACAAAAAAUACUGAACUAAACUGCAAAAAACAUAUAAAGUAACACAAAAUUUUUGACUUAUGGUGAGACUGACUCAUUUACCAAACAUUAGUUAACAUAAAACAUUCAUAAAGUGCAAAAUGUUUUUAAUGAAACAAAAAAAAACAAACUUAGAAAAUAUUAAAGUUUGUGAUUUGUGAAAAAAAAAACUCGAAAAGAAUGAUUUAAAGCAAGUUAUUGGUUUUCAAAAAUUUUUGUUUCUUUUUGUGAAUUUUUUGUUUGAUGUUUUAUUGUACUUUAGUGAAAGGUUUUUGAGGGAUUUAUUUUACAGGUU